rnacentral:rRNA from 1 species
UAAUAGCGUAUACUUAAGUUGUUGCAGUUAAAAAGCUCGUAGUCGGAUGCCGGGCUUGGGCAGGCUGUCGGCUUUUGUCGGACGGCAGGCUCGGGCCUUUCUGCCUGGGGGCCGCGUCACACUUCACUGUGGGGCGGCGGGACGCAGGCCGUUUACUUUGAAAAAAUUAGAGUGUUCAAAGCAGGCCUACGCUUGAAUACAUUAGCAUGGAAUAAUGGAAUAGGACUUUGGUGCCAUUCUGUUGGUUUAUGGAACCGAAGUAAUGAUUAAUAGGGACAGUUGGGGCCGUUUAUAUUUCGUUGUCAGAGGUGAAAUUCUUGGAUUUACGAAAGAUAAACUUCUGCGAAAGCAUUCGGCAAGGAUGUUUUCAUUGA